CCUACGGGUGGCAGCAGUGGGGAAUAUUGCACAAUGGGCGCAAGCCUGAUGCAGCCAUGCCGCGUGUGUGAAGGAGGCCUUCGGGUUGUAAAGCACUUUCAGCGGGGAGGAAGGCGUUAAGGUUAAUAACCUUGUCGAUUGACGUUACCCGCAGAAGAAGCACCGGCUAACUCCGUGCCAGCAGCCGCGGUAAUACGGAGGGUGCAAGCGUUAAUCGGAAUUACUGGGCGUAAAGCGCACGCAGGCGGUCUGUCAAGUCGGAUGUGAAAUCCCCGGGCUCAACCUGGGAACUGCAUGCGAAACUGGCAGGCUAGAGUCUUGUAGAGGGGGGUAGAAUUCCAGGUGUAGCGGUGAAAUGCGUAGAGAUCUGGAGGAAUACCGGUGGCGAAGGCGGCCCCCUGGACAAAGACUGACGCUCAGGUGCGAAAGCGUGGGGAGCAAACAGGAUUAGAUACCCCGGUAGUC
rnacentral:rRNA from 1 species